GCCUGGAUGGCUCAGUGGUUGAGCAUCUGCCUUUGGCUCAGGUUGUGACCCCUGAGUCCUGGGAUCGAGUCCCACAUCGGGCU
rnacentral:tRNA from 1 species